rnacentral:rRNA from 1 species
GAGUUUGAUCCUGGCUCAGGACGAACGCUGGCGGCGUGCUUCAAACAUGCAAGUCGAACGGAGUUAAUUUUGAAGCUUGCUUUAGAAUUAACUUAGUGGCGGACUGGUGAGUAACGCGUGAGUAAUCUGCCUAUCACAGGGGGAUAACAGAGGGAAACUUCUGCUAAUACCGCAUAAGACCACAGGAUGGCAUCAUCAAGGGGUCAAAGGUUAGAUCUGGUGAUAGAUGAGCUUGCGUAUCAUUAGCUAGUUGGUGAGGGUAAAGGCCCACCAAGGCGACGAUGAUUAGCCGAUCUGAGAGGAUGACCGGCCACACUGGGACUGAGAUACGGCCCAGACUCCUACGGGAGGCAGCAGUUAGGAAUAUUGGGCAAUGGAGGAAACUCUGACGCAGUGACGCCGCGUGCAGGAAGAAGGUUUUCGGAUUGUAAACUGCUUUAGACAGGGAAGAAAAAAGACAGUACCUGUAGAAUAAGCUCCGGCUAACUACGUGCCAGCAGCCGCGGUAA